rnacentral:rRNA from 1 species
UACAGAGGUCUCGAGCGUUAGGCGGAAUCACUGGGCUUAAAGCGUGUGUAGGCGGAUUGGUAAGUACCUUGUGAAAUCCCACGGCUCAACCGUGGAACUGCUCGGUAUACUGCCCUGUCUUGUCGCAACCUAGGGGCGAGCGGAACAGAUGGUGGAGCGGUGAAAUGCGUAGAUAAUCAUCUGGAACGCCAAGUGGUGAAAACAGCUCGCUGGGGGUUGCAGACGCUGAGACACGAAAGCCAGGGGAGCGAACGGGAUU